rnacentral:rRNA from 1 species
CACGAGAGUGCCUCGCAAGAGGAGCCUGGAGACAGGUGCUGCAUGGCUGUCGUCAGCUCGUGUCGUGAGAUGUUGGGUUAAGUCCCGCAACGAGCGCAACCCUUGUCUUUAGUUGCCAUCAUUCAGUUGGGCACUCUAAAGAGACUGCCGGUGUCAAACCGGAGGAAGGUGGGGAUGACGUCAAGUCCUCAUGGCCUUUAUGACCAGGGCUACACACGUACUACAAUGGCCGGUACAAAGGGCAGCCACUUAGCGAUAAGGAGCCAAUCCCGUAAAGCCGGUCUCAGUCCGGAUUGGAGUCUGCAACUCGACUCCAUGAAGUUGGAAUCGCUAGUAAUCGCAGAUCAGCACGCUGCGGUGAAUACGUUCCCGGGCCUU